GUCUCAGUGGUGUAGUGGUUAACGCAUUGGCCCGGUUAGGCGCGAGACGUGGGUUCGAAUCCCGUCUAAGAUG
rnacentral:tRNA from 1 species